AACGAACGCUGGCGGCAUGCCUAACACAUGCAAGUCGAACGAGACCUUCGGGUCUCGUGGCGCACGUGUCCGUAACGCGUCGCAACCUGCCCUUAGUUUCGGAAUAACUCCUCGAAAGGGGUGCUAAUACCGGUUAAUAUCUUCUGACCAAAGAUUUAUCGACUUUGGAUGGGCACGCGAUAGAUUAGUUAGUUGUCAGUGCAAAGGCCAACCAACGCGAGGAUAUAUAGCUGGUCUGAGAGGAUGAUCAGCAACACUGGGAAUGAGACACGGCCCAUACUCAUACGGGAGGCAGCAGUAGGGAUAAUUAGAAAGUGGGAGAAAGACUGAUCCAGCAAUGGCGGGUGAGUAAUGAAAGAAUUAGGGUUGUAACGAUCUUUUCGGCGGUAUGAUAAUGACAGUACCGGGAGAAUAAGCCCCGGCUAACUCCGUG
rnacentral:rRNA from 1 species